GUAUGCAGUCUUCACCUUGGUAAACCCUCUUCACGAUAUCUCAGUCAAUUGACACUUACACAUCCAGAUCACAUACUUGUUAAACGUGCGUCAUCUGCUGAAGAGAACUUUGAAAGAGCAGUCCAAUCAGUUGCUUGAUGUGCGGUUGGUUUUCGGCAACUGGGUGAAUGGUGUCCUCUCAUCUCUGUUAAAGCCUUUUUAUUUUUUUGGAGUUGCGUAACCUGCAAGAAGUAUACAAUUGUUAAAGAGCUCAAAUCAUAUUAGUAAAGCCGUUUCCUAAAUCAUUUUGAUAAGGAACAAUUGAUAUAUCAUAUGUUCUAGUGAUUUAAUUUAGUAUGGAUUUCAGUGUUCUUUCACGUAUUUUAAUCAGGCGUAUACCCCUUUUGGAUGUAAUUGAAGUGAUGCCUUUUUGGAAAAAUUAUUGGGUGUUAUUUUUCAUGCUAUUUCAUUCACAAUUAUGUAAUAUUCAUCCUU
rnacentral:misc_RNA from 1 species